ACGAGUUUGAUCAUGGCUCAGAUUGAACGCUGGCGGUAUGCUUAAGACAUGCAAGUCGUGCGGUAGAGGCUUCGGCCUUGAGAGCGGCGGACGGGUGAGUAACACGUGGGAAUCUGCCUAUUAGUGGGGGACAGCCCAGCGAAAGCUGGAUUAAUACCGCAUACGCCCUACGGGGGAAAGCAGCAAUGCGCUAAUAGAUGAGCCCGCGUAAGAUUAGCUAGUUGGUAAGGUAAAGGCUUACCAAGGCGACGAUCUUUAGCUGGUCUGAGAGGAUGACCAGCCACAUCGGGACUGAGACACGGCCUGGACUCCUACGGGAGGCAGCAGUCGGGAAUAUUGGACAAUGGGCGCAAGCCUGAUCCAGCAAUACCGCGUGUGUGAAGAAGGCCUGCGGGUUGUAAAGCACUUUCAGUUGGGAAGAUAAUGACGUUACCAACAGAAGAAGCACCGGCUAACUCCGUG
rnacentral:rRNA from 1 species